UACGUAGGGGGCAAGCGUUGUCCGGAAUUAUUGGGCGUAAAGAGCGUGUAGGCGGUCCGGUAAGUCGGCUGUGAAAGCCCAGGGCUCAACCCUGGGAUGCCGGUCGAUACUGCCGGACUAGAGUUCGGAAGAGGCGAGUGGAAUUCCCGGUGUAGCGGUGAAAUGCGUAGAUAUCGUUUGGAACGCCAAAGGUGAAAACAGACAGCUGGGAGUGUGCUGACGCUGAGACACGAAAGCCAGGGGAGCGAACGGG
rnacentral:rRNA from 1 species